rnacentral:rRNA from 1 species
CGGCUAUGCAUCGUCGCCUUGGUGAGCUACUAUCUCACCAACUAGCUAAUGCACCGCAGGCCCAUCCAUGAGCGGCAGAUAAAUCCGCCUUUUAACAUUCUUACUUAUGCAGGAAUGUCGUAUCCGGUAUUAGCUACCGUUUCCGGUAGUUAUCCCAAUCUCAAGGGUAGGUUGCCUACGUGUUACUCACCCGUCCGCCGCUCGAAUCUCAGGAGCAAGCUCCUGAUCUUCGCGCUCGACUUGCAUGUAUUAGGCACGCCGCCAGCGUUCAUCCUGAGCCCAUGAUCAAACUCU